AAGGAAAACUAAAAAAAACCUAGGGCACGUUAGAUCAUGUUUAUUGUUGGCAGUAAGAUACAGCCCCAGUCUUUCUAAGAAAUAAAAGGAAACCUAAACA